UACGUAGGGUGCAAGCGUUGUCCGGAAUUAUUGGGCGUAAAGAGCUCGUAGGCGGCUUGUCACGUCGGGUGUGAAAGACCGGGGCUUAACCCCGGUUCUGCAUUCGAUACGGGCUAGCUAGAGUGUGGUAGGGGAGAUCGGAAUUCCUGGUGUAGCGGUGAAAUGCGCAGAUAUCAGGAGGAACACCCGUGGCGAAAGCGGCUCUCUGGGACGGUACUGACGCUGAGACGCGAAAGCGUGGGGAGCGAACAGG
rnacentral:rRNA from 1 species